rnacentral:pre_miRNA from 1 species
UAAUUACUCCCUCUGUCCCAAAUUUCUUGUCUUAGAUUUGUCUAGAUACGGAUGUAUCUAAUACUAAAAUGUGACUUGAUACAUCCGUAUCUAGACAAAUUUAAGACAAGAAUUUUGGGACGGAGGGAGUAGUAA